ensembl:misc_RNA Metazoa_SRP Metazoan signal recognition particle RNA
GCCGGGCAUGGUGGCCCAUGCCUGUAAUCCCAGCUACUCAGGAGGCUGAGGCAGGAGAAUUGCUUGAACCUGGGAGACGGAGGUUGCAGUGAGCCGAGAUCGCGCCACUGCACUCCAGCCUGGGUGACAGAGCGAAACUCCGUCUCAA